UAGGGUGGCCGGUCGUUGAAAC
rnacentral:miRNA from 1 species